UACGAAGGGGGCUAGCGUUGUUCGGAUUUACUGGGCGUAAAGGGCGCGUAGGCGGCCUGCUAAGUCGAACGUGAAAUCCCUGGGCUCAACCCAGGAACUGCGUCCGAUACUGCGGGUCUCGAGUCCGGGAGAGGUGAGUGGAAAUUCCUAGUGUAGAGGUGAAAUUCGUAGAUAUUAGGAAGAACACCAGUGGCGAAGGCGGCUCACUGGCCCGGUACUGACGCUGAGGCGCGAAAGCGUGGGGAGCAAAGCAGG
rnacentral:rRNA from 1 species